rnacentral:rRNA from 1 species
UAUGCACGCUGGCGGCGUGCCUAAUACAUGCAAGUCGAGCGAACGGACGAUAAGCUUUCUUCUCUGAUGUUAGCGACGGACGGGCGAGUAACACGUGGAUAACCUACCUAUAAGUCUGGGAUAACUACGGGAAACCGGAGCUACUACCGGAUAAUAUUUUGAACCGCAGAGUUCAAAAGUGAUAGACGGUCUUGCUGUCACUUAUAGCUGGAUCCGCGCUGCAUUAGCUAGUUGGUAAGGUAACGGCUUACCAAGGCAACGAUGCAUAGCCGACCUGAGAGGGUGAUCGGCCACACUGGAACUGAGACACGGUCCAGACUCCUACGGGAGGCAGCAGUAGGGAAUCUUCCGCAAUGGGCGAAAGCCUGACGCAGCCACGCCGCGUGAGUGAUGAAGGUCUUCGGCUUGUAAAGCUCUGUUAUUAGGGAAGAACAUAUGUGUAAGUAACUGUGGACAUCUUGACGGUACCUAAUCAGAAAGCCACGGCUAACUACGUG